GUCCAUGCUGCCUCUACAUGAUGGUACGUCUAUGUUAAUCUGUGCUUCCUGGUCAGGUGAAGACAGCCAUGAGACUCCCUUAAGACUGCAGCAGAACCCUGCCCCCCACCCCUCACUCAUAGGAGGAGGAAGAUGAGGAGCUGUCGGAAUCGGAGGAUGAGCUGGAGUCCUGGGAAGACAAAGAUCAGAAGAUGAGCUGUCUGAUGAGGAGGAAGAGCCGGAGUCCUGAGGUUGGAACACACACACACACACACACACACACACACACAGAUGCACACACACACACACACACACACCCAAAAGCAGAUGAAUAGAAAAAUUACUCAACAAGGAGGUU
rnacentral:lncRNA from 1 species